CGGGAGCUGGAGCUUGCAGUGAGCGGAGAUCGCGCCACCGCACUCUAGCCUGGGAAACAGGACAAGACUCCGUCUCAAAAAAAAAAAAAAAAAUUCAUUCACUCAUGGAAAGCAGCAUAACAGAGUGGCUAAGAAUUCAGUCUCUGGAGUCAGACCAUUUGGAUUAAAAUUCUGGCUCUUUCACAUACUAGCUAGCACCAUAAGUGAUCUGUGCCUCAAUUGUCUGAUCUGUGUAUGGGGAUAUUAGAACUUACCUUGUAAAAUUAUUGCAAAAAUGAAAUGAUACAUUAAAAGUGUUUAGAACAGCUGAGUGCAGUGGCUCACGCCUGUAAUCCCAGCACUCUGGGAGGCCGAGGCGGGCGGAUCAGUAGGUCAGGAGAUCGAGACCAUCCUGGCUAACACGGUGAAACCUCGUCUCUACUAAAAAUACAAAAAAAUUAGCCAGGCGUGGUAGCGGGCGCCUGUAGUCCCAGCUACUCUGGCAGCUGAGGCAGGAGAAUGGCAUGAACCCGGGAGGUGAGCUUGCAGUGAGCCGAGAUCGCGCCACUGCACUCCAGCCUGGGCGACAGGGCUAAACUCCGUCUCAAAACAAAACACAAAAAGUGUUUAGAACAGCGUAUGGUCCUUAAUAAGUACUUAAAUUCAAGCUAUUAUUAACUCAACCAGUAUUUCUUAAGCAACUACCCUGUUCUAGUACCACUGUUCUAGGUACUGGGGUAGCAAUCAUACUCGUACAGAGCUUACCUGUUGGAGCUUAUAUUCUAGAAAGGGAGAUGGACAACAAAAUAAGAAAAGUUUGUAUUUUUUUCCCCAUGAAUAUGAACGAAUAUGGCCAAAAAUAGAGCAUGGAAGAGGACUGGGAGUGCUGGUGGAGGAAGGCUUGCUACCUAAAUGGGGCUGUCAGAGGCAGCUGCUCUGAGGCGACAUCCAGAAAAAUCCAAAGGAGGUGAGGCAGCCAGCUAGGAGGCUAAGACUCAUGCGCAUGCGUAGGAGCAGAAUAUUGCGCAAAGAGGAGUGAGGAUAAGGGCUGGAGGCUGGACCACACCGGCCUUCAAGAAAGGGGAAAGGGACCAUGUGAUGCUAAUUUUAUGUCGUCUUGGCUAGGCUGUGGUGCCCAUGGUUUGGACAAACAAGUCUAGCUGUUGCUACGAAGGCAAACUUUGGAAUGUGAUUAACAUUUAAUUAGUAGACUUUGAGUAAAGCAGAUGACCCUCUAUAUGGUGGGCGGGCCACUCGGUUGAAGACCUUAAGAAUAAUGACUACGGUCUCCCGAGGAAGGAGGAUUUCUGCCUCCAGACCGCAACAUCGAAAUUCGACUUGAGUUUCCAGCGUUCGCGCUUGAAAAUGCAACAUCAACUCUUCCUGAAUUUCCAGGCUGCCAACCUGCCUGCCCUGUGGAUUUCAGAGUUGCCUGUCACCUGAACAUCAAAUGAGCCAGUUCCUUAAAAUAAAUCUCUCUUCUCAGGAAUGCUCUAAUACUGGCCACGGUCGCAGAAGGGAGGGAAGAAUGGGGCGAGGACGAUGAAACAGGGCCAGCGGUGAAGUGAGGUGGGGAGCCGAUGGUGAGCCUGGAGCCACUGGGAGGGCCGGGGGCUGCAGGGACCCGGGUGAUGGGAGGGAGCCUCCGGAGGAGGCGGGGUCUCCCACCAGGAGCACCGUCCUGGGGCCGAGGCAGCGGGGGUGACACUGACUCCUGCCCCCGUUCAGUGCAUGGGGCCAGGCCCUUCAGGUCAGUGACUCACAGACAACAGGAACAAGCUUAGAAAUCUUCAAACCCAGUCACCCAUUAACUGGGUCCUGAGUGAGGCCCAGCAGACAGGCCUCAGUUUCUCACCAGAGCUGGCACCAGUUGGUCCAGGGAAGGCAAGUGGGUCUUGUCUCCUAUGCCUCCCUUGAUGAGUUAGGUUUAGCUUUGGGCAGGGAUGUCUUACUGUGUUCCAGAAUUGGUGGGUUCUUGGUCUUGCCGACUUCAAGAAUGAAGCUGCAGACCCUCACGGCGACUGUUACAGUUUUUAAAAAUAACGUGUCCAAAGUUUAUUCCUUCUGAUGUUCGGACGUGUUCAGAGUUUCUUCCUUCUGGUGGGUUCGUGGUCUCCCUGGCUUCAGGAGUGAAGCUGCAGACCUUUGCAGUGAGUGUUAAAACUCUUAAGGCAGUGCGCCUGAAGUUGUUCGUUCCUCCCGUUCGCAGUUGUUCAUCUCUCGCAGUGGGUUUGUAGUCUCGCUGGCCUCAGGAGUGAAGCUGCAGACCUUCACCACGUUACAGUUCAUAAAGGCAUGCAGACCCAAAGAGUGAGCAGCAGCAAGACUUAUUGCAAAGAGCAAAAGAACAAAGCAUUACACAUGCUGAAGAGAAACCCAAGCAGGCUGCCACUGCUGGCUUCGGCAGCCUGCGUUUAUUCCCUUAUCUGACCCCACCCACAUCCUGCUAAUUGGUCCACUUUACAGAGAGCUGAUUGGUCCAGUUUACAGAGCUGAUGGGCCCAUUUUACAGAGCUGAUGGGCCCAUUUUACAGAGAGCUGAUUGGUCUGUUUUGACAGGGUGCUGAUUGGUGUGUUUACAAACCUUGAGCUAGACACAGAGUGCUGAUUGGUGCAUUUACAAUCCUUUGGCUAGACACAAAAGUUAUCCAAGUCCCCACUAGAUUAGCUAGACACAGCACUGAUUGGUGCCUUUACAAACCUUGAGCUAGACACAGAGAGCUGAUUAGUGCAUUUACAAUCCUUCAGCUAGACACAAAAGUUCUCCAAGUCCCCACUAGAUUAGCUAGACACAGAGCACUGAUUGGUGCGUUACAAACCUUUAGCUAGACUCAGAGUGCUGAUUGGUGCAUUUACAAUCUUUUAGCUAGACACAGAGUGCUGAUUGGUGCAUUUACAAUCCUCUAGCUAGACAUAAAAGUUCUCCAAGUCCCCACCAGAUUAGCUAGAUACAGAGUGGUGACUGGUGCAUCCACAAACCCCCAGCUAGACACAGAGUGCUGAUUGGUGCAUAUACAAUCCUCCAGCUAGACAUAAAAGUUCUCCAAGUCCCCACCUGACUCAGAAGCCCAGCUGGCUUUGCCUAGUGGAUCCUGUGCCUGGCCGUGGGCAGAGUUGCCCACCAGUCCCGCACUGCGUGCCCGUGUGCCUGCAUUACCAAGGGUGAAGGGGCAGUAAUCCAAAAGCAGUGGCUGCCAGGGGGACAGGCACAGUGGGUGGCUGUUUGUACUGGAUAUUGGCCAUUUGCAAUUUACCUGCAAAUCCUUGUGGGCCUGUGCUUCAAAGGGGCCAUCAAGUCACUGUGCAGUGGCGGUCAGUCACCCAGCUUUCUGACAUCACAAGUUGAAUGAAAAGCUUUUAGUCCUGAAUCAACAGGAAGAGCUCUAAAGCCUGCAAGGGGCUCUGUCUCAUUCCCAGCCCAGCUAUAGAAACAGGCCUCUCAGCAGCCCUUUGGGGAGAGAUUCAGUGGCACAAACAGAAUUUGUGCCGUGCUGAGGGCAUGGCUGGCCACUGCAGCCCCACAGGUGUCUUUCUUAGUGGGCACAUGAUCUCAAUUAACUGGGAGGACUGUGGUUUUUUUUGGUCUGUUUUGUUUUGUUGUUGUUGUUGUUGUUGUUGUUGUUGUUUGAGACAGAGUCUCGCACUGUCACCCAGGCUGGAGUGCAGUGGUGCCAUCUGGGCUCACUGCAA
rnacentral:lncRNA from 10 species